rnacentral:ncRNA from 1 species
UACUUAUCGAGAGUGACGGAGGGAACAGGCCCUUUGAAGUCCAGCAACCAUCAAGCAUGCUUGAAAGGUGCUAAAUCCUGCAGGUUUUUACCUGAAAGAUAAGGU